AGUGAACGCUGGCGGUAGGCCUAACACAUGCAAGUCGAACGGCAGCACAGUAAGAGCUUGCUCUUACGGGUGGCGAGUGGCGGACGGGUGAGGAAUACAUCGGAAUCUACUUUUUCGUGGGGGAUAACGUAGGGAAACUUACGCUAAUACCGCAUACGACCUACGGGUGAAAGCAGGGGAUCUUCGGACCUUGCGCGAUUGAAUGAGCCGAUGUCGGAUUAGCUAGUUGGCGGGGUAAAGGCCCACCAAGGCGACGAUCCGUAGCUGGUCUGAGAGGAUGAUCAGCCACACUGGCACUGAGACACGGUCCAGACUCCUACGGGAGGCAGCAGUGGGGAAUAUUGGACAAUGGGCGCAAGCCUGAUCCAGCCAUACCGCGUGGGUGAAGAAGGCCUUCGGGUUGUAAAGCCCUUUUGUUGGGAAAGAAAAGCAGCAGGUUAAUACCCCGCUGUUCUGACGGUACCCAAGGAAUAAGCACCGGCUAACUUCGUG
rnacentral:rRNA from 1 species